CCUACAUCGGUUAAUUGCUGGGUGGAUAAGGCAUCCUCAUAGUAGAAUUCCUCGUAGUGUUGUGGGCAAUUCCCAAAAAAAGGGGGAAAAAAAAAAGCCGAGAGACAGAGAACCAGAAAACAGAAAGGAAGAAGAAAAAGGGAAUCGAGUGAGACGAAAAUGGCGAGGAAGUCAGGGAUUUUGAUACGACAUUUGUUUGGCAAUUGGAGCAACCCCUGUGCAGGUCUUCUUCGUCAUCGUCGUAAGCUUCUUCCUGUUUCCAUCCAAACCCUAACCCUAUCUUCAAUCCAUAGUCUAACACCACGUUUACCUUCCCCUUGCAAAUUACCUUUGUCCUCCCCAAACCUUCAUUUUAUGCGACGCUCCGAUGAAGGUCUUGUAUUUUCAAGGCCCGCAAAGAUGGUAAUCAUUUCGAACAAGGAUGACUAUGACAGGGCAAUUAAACAAGUUACAGACGCAGUGAAGGGAUGGAAAUGGCAAAUCCAAAAUCCAACUCGGCGGCCAUACCUAAACUUGCUUGUGUGUGUGUGUGUGUGUGUGUGUGUGUGUGUGUGUGUGUUUUUUGAGAAAUUAAAGUUUGUAGAUCUAAUGGUUGAAUAGAUAACUUCGGUAAGAACUAUGAUGCCGCAGAUCCUCCCCUAUAUAUAUUGUAUUACUUUUUCACAUGUG